UACAGAGGGUGCGAGCGUUAAUCGGAAUUACUGGGCGUAAAGGGCGCGUAGGUGGUUAUGUAAGAUCGAUGUGAAAUCCCUGGGCUUAACCUAGGAACUGCAUCGGUGACUGUAUAGCUGGAGUACUGUAGAGGGUAGUGGAAUUUCCGGUGUAGCGGUGAAAUGCGUAGAGAUCGGAAGGAACACCAGUGGCGAAGGCGGCUACCUGGACAGAUACUGACACUGAGGCGCGAGAGCGUGGGGAGCAAACAGG
rnacentral:rRNA from 1 species